GAGGUUCCGGGGAAGUAACUUCCUCGACCUAUUCUCAAACUUUAAAUGGGCAAGAUCCAGUAGUUACUUAAUUGAACUAUUGGGGUCAAUGAGACGACUCUAAGUGGGCCAUUUUUGGUAAGCAGAACUGGCGAUGAGGGAUGAACCUAACGCUCGGUUAAGGUGCUAAACUGCUCGCUCAUCAGAUACCACAAAGGGUGUUGGUCGAUCUUAACAGCAGGACGGUGGUCAUGGAAGUCGAAAUCCGCUAAGGAGUGUGUAACAACUCACCUGCCGAAUCGACUAGCCCCGAAAAUGGAUAGCGCUGAAGCGAGUGACCGAUACCGGGCCAUUGUUGCAAGAUAAUUGGCAACAAUGAGUAGGAGGGCGUGGGGGUUGUGAAGAAGCUUGGACGUGAGUCUGAGUGAAACAGCUUCCAGUGCAGAUCUUGGUGGUAGUAGCAAGUAUUCAAUAAGAGAACAUUGAAGGCCGAAGUGGGGAAGGGUUCCAUGUGAACAGCACUUGGACAUGGGUUAGCCGAUCCUGAGAGACAGGUUAAAUUCCAUCGGAUUGGAGCUUUGGCUCUGUUUCUCGAAAGGGAAGCUGGUUAGUAUUCCAGCGCCGAGACGUGGAUAAUAUGUGGCAACACAAGUGAACUCGGACACGCCAUAGGGGACCCCAGGAAGCGUUGUCUUUUCUUUUUAACAGUUCGACUUACCCUGGAAUCAGAUCAUCUGGAGAUAGGGUUUUCGAACUGGAAUAGCACCUUGUCUAACAGGGUGUCUGGAGUGUUCUCGCUGGCCCUUGAAAAUCCGAGGGAUAGAUUUAUUCGCACUCUCGAUCGUACCCAUAACCGCAUCAGGUCUCCAAGGUUAGAAGCCUCUGGUCCGUACGACAAAGUAGAUAAGGGAAGUCGGCAAAAUAGGUCCGUAACUUCGGGAAAAGGACUGGCUCUGAGGUUUGGUAUGUGGAACCUGGAUUAAUCGUUGGAGUCGAGCAGAGACUACUUGUUGCUCACGUGACUUGUGGACUCCUUGCUUGAUACCUUCAAUUGAUCCAGGCUGCUUCGGCGCUCUGCAUGCACUUAACAAA
rnacentral:ncRNA from 1 species